UUGUUCUCUUACAGGCAGCUAUGAAACAAAGAAUACCUAUUUUAUAAAAAAAGAAAACCAUCAAACAUCUGAUGUGCAGAGAAAAAAGAAGUGCAAGCAAUAAAAAUAAGAAGUAGCAUUUAGAACUGAAGUUCACAGAAGUUUCCCUAGUGAACGUGAAUGCUCUGUGGAUCUGGAUAUCAUGGAAGGUAGAAAAAAAAACCCAGAUAUCAGACACAGAGGUCAUCGUUGGAAGUGUCCAUUAUGAAUAUUGACAGCACUUAUGACCAUGCUGGCAUUCAGCUGCAUUCACAUUUCCACAUCAUCCUCAAACUCCAGAUUAGGCCAUCCCACUUAUUACUGGAAAUUACGAGCUAAUGCAAAGAAUGAAGAAAAUGGGAGUCUGAUUCAAACAGCAAUUCAGAUGCCUACAGAUACAAAGUACUUCUGUAACACAGACGCUGUUUCUUUUAGGGUAGAGGAAACCGGACUGUAAACAUUGGAGACAUUCACUAAGGAUGUAAGAAGACUUUCUCUAAGUGAGGGGAUAAAAAGGGUAAGUGUGUAUUAACUGUGUUCUGUGAGAGGGGAAUAAGUAUUGGUGGGGAUGGAAGAACGGACCAUUGCGGCACUAAUGAGCACUCAGUUGAAAGGAUGGGGUAUAUGGUGAUGGCACUGCAAUAGAUUUACACCCACUAAUGGAAUUCUUGACCUUCCAAAACCCUGACACCUACCUCUAUCUCCCACCAUAAGACCACACGAUACAGGAGCAGAAUUAGGCCAUUCAGCCCAUUGAGUCUGCUCUACCAUUUGAUUCUGGCUGAUCCAUUUUCCUUUCAACUCCAUUCUCCUGUAACCUAUCAUGUCCUGACUUAUCAAGAAUCUAUCAACCUCUGCCUUAAAUACUCCCAAUGUCCUAGCCUCCACUGCCCGCUUCUGGCAGCAAUUUCCACAGAUUCACCACCCCCUGGCUAGAGAAACUCCUCCUCAUCUCUGUUCUAAGUGUUUGUCCCUCUAUUCUGAGGCUGUGUCUUCUGGUCCUAGACUCCCUCCAUCAUAUGAAACAUCCUCUCCACAUCCACUUUAUCGAGGCCUUUCAACAUUUGAUAGUUUUAAUUAGCUCCACCCCCCUGCAUUCUUCUCAAUUCCAGCAAGUACGGUCCCAGAGCCAUCAAACACUCCUCAUAUGAUGAGUCUUUCACUUGUGGAAUCACUUUCAUGAACCUCCUUUGAACCGUGUCCAAUGACAGCUCAUCCUUUCUUAGGUAAGGGACCAAAAACUGUUCACAAUACUCCAAGUGAGGCCUCAUCAGUGCCUUAAAGGCCUCAGCAUUAGAUCCUUGUUUUUAUAUUCUAGACCUCUUGAAAUGAAUGUUAACAUUGCAUUUGUCCUCCUCACCACUGACUCAACCUGCAAGUUAAAAUUUGGGGAAUCCUGGACAAGGACUCCCAAGUCCUUUUGCACAUCUGAUUUUUGAAUUUUCUCUCUAUUUCAAAAGUAGUUUAUGUCUUUAUUCUUUCUACUGAAUUGCAUAACCAGACACUUUCCGACACCGUAUUCCAUCUGCCACUUCUUUGUCCAUUGUCCUAAUCUGUCUAAGUCCUUCGGUAGCCUCCCUGCUUCUUCAACACUACCUACCCCUCCACCUAUCUUCAUAUUGUCCCCAAACUUGGCCACAAAGUUUGUCAUCCAAAUCAUUGACAUAUCAUAUAAAAAGAAGCGGUCCCAACGCCAGCCACUGCAGAACACCACUGUCCCUGACAGCUAAUCAGAAAAGGCCCUCUCUGCCAAUUAGCCAAAGCACUAUCCAUGCUAGUAUCUUUCCUGUAAUACCCUGGGCUCUUAUCUUGCCAAGCAGAAUAAUUUGUGGCACCUUGUCAAAGGCCUUCUGAUAAUCAGAGUACACAACAUCCACUAAUUGUCCUUUGUCUAGUCUGCUUGUUAUUUCCUCAAAUAAUUCCAAUAGCAUAUCCCUUAAUAAAACCUCACUGAAUUUGGCUUAUUUCAUCAUCUGCCUCCAAGUACAAUGAAAUAGCAUCCUAACAUUCAAUCCUAACAACUGAUGUCAGGCUAAUUGGUCUCUAAUUUCCUUUCUUCUGCCUCCCUUUUUUCAUGAAGAGUUAUGUGACAUUUGCAAAUUUUCGGUGCUCCAGAACAAUGCCAGAAUCUAGCGAUUCUUGAAAGAUCAUUACUAAUGCCUCCACAAUCUCUUCAGCUACCCCUGGGGUAAAGUACAUCUGGUCCAGGUGACUUAGCUACCUUCAGACCUUUCACAUUCCCAACACCAACUCCCUAGUAAUAGCAACUGCACUUUCUUCUGCUCCCUGACACUCUCAAAUUUCUGGCAUACUGUUAGUGCCUUCCACAGUGAAAACUGAUUAUUCGGAGAAAAAUACUUAUUCAGUUUGUCCACCAUUUUUCUGUGUCCUAUUCGUACCUCUUUAGCUUUAUUUUCCUGUAGUCCAAUAUCUAUUUUUGCCUCUCUUUUACUCUUUACAUACCUGAAUACAAACUUUUGGUAUCCUCUUUGAUAUUGUUGGCUAACUUACCUCCAUA